rnacentral:rRNA from 1 species
UACGGGGGGUGCAAGCGUUGUCCGGAAUCACUGGGCGUAAAGGGUCCGUAGGCGGUGCGGUAAGUCGGGAGUGAAAUCUCUGGGCUUAACUCAGAGGCUGCUUCCGAAACUACCGUGCUAGAGUGCGAGAGAGGCAAGUGGAAUUGCGGGUGUAGCGGUGAAAUGCGUAGAUAUCCGCAGGAACAUCCGAGGCGAAAGCGGCUUGCUGGAUCGCAACUGACGCUGAGGGACGAAAGCUAGGGGAGCAAACAGG